CCACGUUUCUUUCCUCUCCCUUAUCUCUUCAUUUCUGUAUUUUCAACAACAAUGUUGAAACUCAAAUGUUUCUUUCAAUCUUCAAACUUUGAUUUCUUUUAUUUAUAUUUUCUGAAUCGUUUUGAACAACUGUGAAUUUUAUAUCAAUGAUAUUUCAAAUCUGUGAAAUUAGUGGUGUUGUUUAGAUCUAUUAAAAAGAUAAGUGAUGUUUUUAGAUCUGAGAAAUCAAAGAAGGUGGUGAUGUUGCGGUUUCCGGUGGCGGCGCAUCUGUGCGUUUUUGUGUGAUUUGGAGGUGGUAAGGUUGCGAUCUCCGGUGAUGGAUGCAAGAUGAUUUCACGACGGCAAAUCGCCCUCAACCGACAAAGCUGCAACAUCUCAACAGACAUGCGGCGUCGACGCCUCCACAACCAAUCAACGACUACACCGCACGACCCCUCUUCAUUUCGGCACCAAGCCAUCGGCAUUCACCUGUAUCGUGCCUUGCUUGCAUCCACUACCACGGUUAAAUAUUCUUCGUGCCAGGCCACCGUAGCUGGUAACUCUUCUGGUUCUUCAUUUCCGUUCUACAUACUCGAAAAAUAGUGUCGUUAUUAGGGCACAUAGUGUCAUCAACAUGGUGGUAACAACCUGCUAAUGCUAUGGCGGAGUCAAAUAUAGAUAUUCUACCAAAUACAAGUAACUACUACAUAGAGAAAAAUGAGAGUAAGAUAGAGAAAAACAAGAGACAUAAAAUAGGAGAUGAUUGCUAUUAAAAUUCAGUGGUUAAACUUUAGUAUGAUCAACUAUUUAUUAUCUUAAAAUACAAGAAAAUGUUAUUAUAAAUGGU